ACACACACACAUAUAGAGCUGGUAGGAAAGUAAAGAAAAGGAAGCUGACUGAAGGGAGAAGGAAAAAGAAUGAGGCUGAACGAACAAGCCUGAGCGCGACAUACACUCUGCCUCACACACACACUCUGCCUCACACACACACACACAUUCUGCCUCACACACACACAUUUCCCUCACAGACUGCGUUGGAGCUCCAGUCGUGCAGUGGGAGCAGCAGCAGCAGAGGCUCCAGACGCUCGCUGCAGCCUCCUGUCAGUCCACAUUCUGGGCUCAGAGCCGCUGCUGCUGCCGGGAGGAGAAGUCCUCCGGUUCCCUCUGCAGACCUGCUGCUCAUCUGGACGGGAUGGUCCGGGCUGGGAGCUCCAGAAGAGCCUGAUCCGGUCCUGAUCCACAGGUAGCAGCUUCCUCUCGUUCUCCAGGCAGCAGAGGAGCUUCUGCAGGGAACGUCCUCAGCAGUCCGAUCCGGGCUUUAUCUUCUCGUCACCGCAGCAGGAGAGGAAAACUCGACUUUAAGGCUGCAAAAGAAACGAAGCUCCAAAGCUGGAGUCCAGAUCAGAGCAGGAAGUCUCUCUGUAUGAAUCCAUGUUCUGAUUUCCUGACAUCAGAGAAACAAAGCAGGGAGAAAUCUGGGAAAUUAGAGUAAAAUGCUGCAGAUAAACAGAUAAAAACUGCUCAUUUUUUUACCAGUGCAUCAGAUAUGAAA